rnacentral:rRNA from 1 species
UACAGAGGUCUCAAGCGUUGUUCGGAUUCAUUGGGCGUAAAGGGUGCGUAGGCGGCGCGGUAAGUCGGGUGUGAAAUCUUGGAGCUUAACUCCGAAACUGCAUUCGAUACUGCCGUGCUUGAGGACUGGAGAGGAGACUGGAAUUUACGGUGUAGCGGUGAAAUGCGUAGAUAUCGUAAGGAAGACCAGUGGCGAAGGCGGGUCUCUGGACAGUUCCUGACGCUGAGGGACGAAAGCUAGGGGAGCAAACGGG